AUACGAAGGGGGCAAGCGUUGUUCGGAAUAACUGGGCGUAAAGCGCACGUAGGCGGAAUGUUAAGUUAGAGGUGAAAUCCCAGGGCUCAACCCUGGAACUGCCUUUAAUACUGGCAAUCUAGAGACCGAGAGAGGUGAGUGGAAUUCCGAGUGUAGAGGUGAAAUUCGUAGAUAUUCGGAGGAACACCAGUGGCGAAGGCGGCUCACUGGCUCGGUACUGACGCUGAGGUGCGAAAGCGUGGGGAGCAAACAGGAUUAGAUACCCCGGUAGUCC
rnacentral:rRNA from 1 species